AACAGAACAACAAAAUGCUAUUCUAUUCUCUUACAAAUCUUCACUUUAUGAUCUAUAUUUUGUGUUACAGAAAGGAAGUUGGAGACUGAAGAGAAUAAAUUUUGAUAUCCUAAGUGUAUGCCCCCACGAGGAGGACCAGUACCCAAUAAUAAUGGGAAGAUUUUUCCUGACUCUUCCUGCCAACGCCCACAAAGUAUUUAUUCACUGCCUUCCAAAGGCAUUCUAACACCUUCAAAAGCAGUUCUCAGGUCUUCCUGUCCGCUAGGAUGCUGUCUUCAUGUAUGGUUAAAGCUGGCUCACCAGUGCCACAUCCAGGUCCCAGCCUACGUUGAAGGAGAAGUGGCGGAUAUCCCCACUCCUUAUCCUGAGGGAAAGAGUUGGGGACUGGCCUUAUUUCCUGAUGUAGGUGCAAGGAUGGAAUUUGAAGGAUCACAGGAAGAGUACGAGAGGCUGGGACCAGAAAAGCCAGGACAAAACAUUAGGGCUUGGGUUGA